UACGUAGGGGGCGAGCGUUGUCCGGAAUCAUUGGGCGUAAAGCGCGUGUAGGCGGCCAGGUAAGUCCGCUGUGAAAGUCGGGGGCUCAACCCUCGGAUGCCGGUGGAUACUGUCGGGCUUGAGUACGGAAGAGGCGAGUGGAAUUCCUGGUGUAGCGGUGGAAUGCGCAGAUAUCAGGAGGAACACCGAUAGCGAAGGCAGCUCGCUGGGACGGUACUGACGCUGAGGUGCGAAAGCGUGGGGAGCGAACAGG
rnacentral:rRNA from 1 species